AAGGGAGACCUAAUUCAGGUAGGAGACGAAAAAAAAGUAGUCCCAACCAAGAAUCAAUCCCAAAAGGUCGGAGCGAGGCGAAAUUGGCUUUCAAACUAGGUUCUGGGUUCAUAAAAGACCUGAAUCAGGAACAAGGGCUAUUAGCUCAGGUGGUUAGAGCGCACCCCUGAUAAGGGUGAGGUCCCUGGUUCGAGUCCAGGAUGGCCCACCUGCACAGGUGGCAAAAACAAGAGAAGCGAGGAAUCAGCACCUUAUCUUAUAUACAUAUAUAAGAGAGAAUGCUGGCUCUGAGUACAGAGUCCAGAGGAACCUUGAAAACUGCAUAGAGCUAGGUGAAAAAGCCAAAAAAGAAGACCGCAA
rnacentral:tRNA from 1 species